UACGUAGGGGGCGAGCGUUGUCCGGAAUUAUUGGGCGUAAAGAGCUCGUAGGCGGUGUGUCGCGUCGAUCGUGAAAACUUGGGGCUUAACCCUGAGCUUGCGGUCGAUACGGGCAUCACUGGAGUUCGGCAGGGGAGACUGGAAUUCCUGGUGUAGCGGUGAAAUGCGCAGAUAUCAGGAGGAACACCGGUGGCGAAGGCGGGUCUCUGGGCCGAUACUGACGCUGAGGAGCGAAAGCGUGGGGAGCGAACAGG
rnacentral:rRNA from 1 species